CUUGCCCACCCCCGCCCCUGCCCACCGAGACCCCUGUCAGAGAGCCUGGCACCCCUACAGCCCAGCCGGAGCUGGCAGCUGCCAUGGAAAAGCCAGCCGGGCCUCCUGACCAGGCAGGCCCCGGAGGCCAGCACGUGGCCAGCCUGGUGCCGGCUGUUUCUGCCCCAGUGCCCGGUGUGGCCUGAGCCUGCCUGAGCAGAUGGUCUUGGAAGUGAGCUCGGCCUGAACGGGGUCGGGAGGGUCUGCCGGUCCCAUCUUCUCCGUCUCUGCCUCUGCUGGGCUCCCUCGCUGUCCUUGCUAUUGUCCUGGAGAAGCCGACAAGCUUGGCUGGCCAGGGGCACGGCGCGGCAUUGGUGAGGCGGGAAGUGACACGGCCCAGACGUCCCGCAGUGCCAGGUGUGCGGGACAGGAUCCCAGGGGCUCUGGUGUAGCCGACGCAGGACUGGAGGGUAGCGGGGGUGGCAGGAUGGUGCAGAGGGGUGCAGGCCGCCCUGCAGGUGCCUCAGGGAGCACCUGAUUGCAAGGGAGGCCCUCACGGCUUGUGGUGGCAGUGGGACCUCCCUUGGGGAGGAGGUCAAAGGACUCACGUUUGCUGAGGCCCUACUAUGUGCACAGUUCUUAUAAGUGUGACCUUGGCUAUUACCUGCCCACUUCAUACCCCCUGCCUCCACCCUUCCUGGGGGGGCCUUUGUCUAACUCCCAAAGCUUCCCACGUUUACCAGGUGAGUUUUCCUUGCAAGUUCUCCAGGGCAGCUGCUUCCCCAGAGGCCUGUCUGUGAACAUUUCCAGCUAUGGUUACCUCCUGGAUGGCUGCUCACCCACCGGGGCUGCAUCUUAGUGACCAAAAGAACACAGUUUCCAUGUGGGUUCCACUUUCUUUCUUUCCUUUUUUUUUGCAGGGGCUGGUGCGGGGUUUGGGGCCAUAUCCACGGCCUAUGGAAGUCCCCAAGCUAGGGGUCAAAUAGGAGCUAUAGCUGCCGACCACAGCCAUAGCCUCAGCCACAUCAAUGUGGCAUCCGAGCUGCAUCUGCAAACUUCCGCACAGCUUGCUGCAACGCCAGAUCCUUAACCCACUGAGCGAGGCCAGGGAUCGAACCCGCCGCCUCAUGGAUACUAGUCAGGUUCAUAAGCUGCUGAGCAACAACGGGAACUCCCUGGGCUCCACUUUCUGACUGCACUUGAAUCACGGGCUUUACCUCUCUGAGCCUCAGUUUCCUCACCUGUAAAAUGUGCAAGACCAGCCCACCUGGAAAGCUGGUUAUGAGGAUUAAGAGCGAUGAGGGGUGUGAGAUGCCAGGCACAGAGGAGGCACUGGCUCAGGGACCCACACUGCCUUCCCUCCUUGCAGGCUCUGUGGCUGAGACAAGUCACCCACCUCUGGGCCUUGAUUUCCUCGGCUCUCAAAUGAGCACACCCUGCCUGGUCACAGGGAGGGGAGGGAGAGGGGGAGAGUCACGUGGUGUGAGAGCCACCAGGGCUGUGCCCAGGGGCAACUGGUGCCCGUAUCUUCCCAUCUCUGCAGCGGAAGCUUUGGGCCAACGAAGGCGCCUCCCUGCCCUGUCGUGUUGCAGUCUGGGGGUCUUAGGGCCUCGCCUGCCCCCACAUGACUCUCACUCUUUGUCUCUCAGCUCCGAGGGUCAGCAGAGGCCUCCCACGGGACUUUGCUCUGAUUUUGCAGCUCAUGGAUGGGCCUGCUGCUGGGGCAGUCCUAGGUGGAGCCUCAGGGCUGCCCAGGCCAUAAGGGGGAGAGCGGGAGCCCCACCUUCACCCAAGGCCCAUAUCUGAGCAUCUGUUCCUGUCUAUCUGAUGUCUGCCAUUCUUUUGUGGGUAAGAGUCCCUCCAUAUGGAAACCCUGGGGGGUGGGGGGCGAAGGCGGAGGAAGAGGCUCUGCUGAGAUCUGCCAAGGGAUUGGGGCUGCUGCUCUUCUCUGCCUCGGAACCUUUGAACACGCUGCUCUUUCUGGCUGACAUACAGUUUCCCUCUUUCACGCCCAACUCCCACCCCUGGUAGCCAUUCACAUUUCAGCAGAGAGGCUUUUGCUGGACCACCUCCGCAAUCGCUAAUGGGCCUCCUUUGCAGUCUUGUUGAGGGGGCUCUGGUCUUUUCCUUCAAGCAGCUUUUACAACUUGGUUAUAUAUGUGUCUGUAAACUCUCAUGUUGUCUCUCUCCCCCACUGGACUGUUCACUCCAUGCUUAGGCAAGGAGAGGGGUUGGCCGAGUCUCCUGUUUAGCAGUGAAGACCCUGCGCCUAGAAUGAGGCCUGGAACAUGGUUGGUGCUCAGAAGGCCAGGACUGGAUUGAGAUGCAUCAGCUCUGCUCCCAUAGCAGGUGGCUAAACCCUUCUUGCCUGCCUGCUGGGCAUGGAGAACCAAAGAUGUUAGAAGCAUGAGGACUCUUGGGGAUCAUUGGUCCAAUAUGGUCAUUUCAGAGGCCCCCCCCAAGGCAAAGGCCUUCCCAGUGGAGGGAAAAGAGAGACUUGAACCCAGGCCUAAUGGCCCUCUGUCUGGUCUCUCUCCGGUCUUCUCUGGGCCAUGGCUAGUUAUUUCCCAGGGGUCACUUACAGGGGACCCAGGCCUCCCAGCCCCAGAGCUCCUUUGGAUGAAGGGUGGGGGGCAACAGGCUCAACUUCUUGGGAUUCCCCAGGAAGGCGAUGACACAGAAAUAAUAAUAAUAAAGCCUAAACAGUGACGGUUCCAGCACGGGCUGAGCAGCCUCUAAGUACUGUGAUACUAUGAACCCUUAGCAACCAGCCAAGGGAAGCGGUGUUACAAGGCUCGAAAUGGUGAGGUGACUUGCCCAAAGUCAUUCUGUGAGCAAGUGCCUGCGUGGAGACCCAAACCCAGGGCUGUUUGACUCGGAGAGCCUCGAACACUGCGUGCAGGUGUGCAGCUCCACGCUCUGCUGCUUGGCGUCAUUACUACCGUUUGCUUCUCAGAACAGGAAGGCGCUGGAGGAAGGGUGUUGGGAAGAACCCAGGCUUCCCCAAGAUGUAUCCUGAGAUGCACAGAUCCCUGCAAACAGCAUUCAGAACCAAGGUCACAGGCCUGUUGUGUCCUCAGCCGUGAUAUUGGAGGGUUGCCUCGGCCUCCUGGGUUGUUGUGUGAAGGCUGAGUCAGAAGAAAUAGGCUUGAACGGGUCUCGGGGGGAUCCUGGCACGAAGUGGGGCUCACAGGGCUGUCUCCCGCCAGGUCCCCCUUUCACCUCCUAGGAAAGGGAGCUGCUCUUGGAAUCCACAGUGAGGCCCAAGGUGGGGGACCAAACAUGCCCACAGACGCGGAGCAGGCCCAAGAUCACGGAAAGAGGCCUGAGUUGGAGUGAAGGCAAGUUCAAGAUCUGACCCUGCUGGGCGGGAGAGUCAUCCUGGUGCAAAACAUUCACUGCAAGGGGUGGGCACACAAUGUAGAGUUGAGAUGUGUGUGAAUUGCUGGUAUAUUGUUCAUGAAGCUUUCUUUUUUUCAUUUUUCUUGAAAUAUAGUUGAUUUACAAUGUUGUAUUAGUUUCAAGUGUACAGUAAAGUGGUUCAGUUUAUACAUGUACACACACAUAUUUUUAGAUUUUUUUCCAUUAUAGGUUAUUACGAGAUAUUGAAUAGUUUCCCGUGCUGUGCAGUAGGUCUUUGUUGUUUAUUUUCUAUGUAGUAAUGCAUACCUGUUAAUCCCAAAUUCCCAGUUUGUCGCUCCCCAACCCCCUUUCCCCUUUGGUAACCAUAAAUUUGUUUUC
rnacentral:lncRNA from 1 species